rnacentral:lncRNA from 1 species
GGCUAGAGGAAAAAAAAUGAUAAAGUUUUUCCUCAUGGUGAAUAAACAGGGCAGACCCGACUUUCUAAGUACUAUGAACAUGUGGAGAUUAAUAAGCGUACGCUUCUGGAAACAGAAGUCAUCAAGAGCUGUCUCUCUCGAUCCAAUGAACAAUGUUCUUUCAUUGAAUAUAAAGACUUUAAGCUGAUAUACCGGCAGUAUGCAGCUCUCUUCAUUGUGGUUGGAGUUAAUGACACAGAGAACGAGAUGGCAAUUUAUGAAUUCAUCCAUAACUUUGUGGAAGUUUUAGAUGACUACUUCAGCCGAGUGUAAGUUUAAUGACUUAAAACGGUUUUCAUCCUUUGCCCAAUUUCCAAGAAAUAGGCCUGUAUAAAAAAC